AAUUUUAAUAAGUGCUGGAGGGGAGCUUGUCUACAGCCUGGAGAAGAAAGGAAUCAAAGUGUGAGAAGGACAGCAAGGUGUUCUACAAUAUCAGAAGUCUGUGUGUCAAAACAAGAAUAGGAGGUCCUGCCUCAAGAGGUAGCCACUGAGUCUCAGAAAAAGAAAAAUGACCUUGAGACUUGAGACAGCAUAACCUGGUGGAAAUAAUCUUAGAGUGAGAGGACAUAAUUUUCUCCUUCCAAUUUCCCCUUCUGGCUAAGAUAAAAUGGAUAAAUGGGU